rnacentral:rRNA from 1 species
CCUACGGGUGGCAGCAGUGAGGAAUAUUGGUCAAUGGACGCAAGUCUGAACCAGCCAUGCCGCGUGCAGGAAGACGGCUCUAUGAGUUGUAAACUGCUUUUGUACGAGGGUAAACACAGAUACGCGUAUCUGUCUGAAAGUAUCGUACGAAUAAGGAUCGGCUAACUCCGUGCCAGCAGCCGCGGUAAUACGGAGGAUUCAAGCGUUAUCCGGAUUUAUUGGGUUUAAAGGGUGCGUAGGCGGUCGGAUAAGUUAGCGGUGAAAUCCCGGGGCUCAACUUCGGAAUUGCCUCUGAUACUGUUAGGCUAGAGAGUAGGUGCGGUAGGCGGAAUGUACGGUGUAGCGGUGAAAUGCUUAGAGAUCAUACAGAACACCGAUUGCGAAGGCAGCUUACCAAGCUACGUCUGACGCUGAGGCACGAAAGCGUGGGGAGCAAACAGGAUUAGAUACCCGAGUAGUC